UGUUGAGUUGUAUUUUGAUUCCAGAU
rnacentral:piRNA from 2 species